GAUGGAGCAACCUAAAAGAUCUUUGUGAGCUUUCCUAAGCUUCCAUUCUACGUCAUCCUUCAAUGAACUUCUGAUGCUUUUCUCCUCACUAUCUCAAUUGUGUAUGGUGGAAUUUCUCAUGCUUUGGAGCUCUCUUCAUGGCUCGUUACACUUACAAAUAAGUGCAUUCUUCCUUGCUGCAAACAUUGAAAAUGUCAAGUCUUGUACACUAUAUAAAAGUGAACAUAUGUUGGGUAUGCGGAGGUUUGUGGAAUAUCGUGGAUCGACAUGCUGUGUCUGCUACUGAAAUAUCGUGUAAUGGCAUGCUCUGUUGUAAGCUAGGCUUGGUGAGAGUGCUCUGCUAGUUCUUGUUUAAAAACAAUUGUCGACUCUUAGACUGGACGCGUAUGUAACGAAUGCUAAUCACCUGUUUUCACUUUAUAAUCUUGCUAAUGGUAAUAUAGGGUGGUUACUAAUA